AUAGACAGGUAACCAGGACAACAGUUGAACAGAUGAACAGAUGAAUCGUUGAACGGGUGAAUAGAUGAUCAGGUGAACAGAUGAGUCGUUAAACAGGUAAAUAGAUGAUCAGGUGAACAGAUGAGUCGUUAAACAGGUAAACAGAUGAUCAGGUGAACAGAUGAAUCAUUGAACAGUUGAGCAGGUGAAUCGUUGAACAGAUGAAUAGAAAAUCAGGUGUGUAGAUUGUUUAACAGGUGAACAGAUGAGUUGUUGAACAGGUAAAUAGAUGAUCAGGUGAACAGAUGAGUCGUUAAACAGGUAAAUAGAUGAUCAGGUGAACAGAUGAAUCAUUGAACAGUUGAGCAGGUGAAUCGUUGAACAGAUGAAUAGAAAAUCAGGUGUGUAGAUUGUUUAACAGGUGAACAGAUGAGUUGUUGAACAGGUAAAUAGAUGAUCAGGUGAACAGAUGAGUCGUUGAACAGGUAAAUAGAUGAUCAGGUGAACAGAUGAGUUGUUGAACAGGUAAAUAGAUGAUCAGGUGAACAGAUGAGUCGUUGAACAGGUGAAUAGAUGAUCAGGUGAACAGAUGAGUCGUUGAACGGGUGAAUAGAUUAUCAGGUGAACAGAUGAGUCGUUAAACAGGUAAAUAGAUGAUCAGGUGAACAGAUGAAUCAUUGAACAGUUGAGCAGGUGAAUCGUUGAACAGAUAAAUAGAAAAUCAGGUGUAUAGAUUGUUUAACAGGUGAACAGGUGAAUCGGUGAACAGAUGAACAGAUUGAACAGGUGAAUUGUUGAACAGGUGUGGUGGAUUCCCUGUCUUGCAACUCUCUGUGUUUCUAGUUUUUGUGGAUUUUCUAAGUUUUCUGAUGAAGACAUUUUUAAUGUGAAUUAAUCUGUAGUAAUCUUCUGAUCAUUUUUUAAUGAUGUGUGUGAUGAAGCACUAUUGCUCAUCGUCAUCACCCCACUCCAUCGCCCACUGAUAGCGUCACAUAGGACGUUCUGUCCAGCUGCUCGUCUUCAUCACAUCACAUCUACACACGUUGAACAUCAGCCACAACAUUAAAACCACUAAGAGGCGAAUCAUCGGGUAACACUGCUAGGUCUCCUCCACUUCUGACCAUCAACCCCCACCUGGAGCAGGCCAAACACACUCCUGGCGCUGCUGCUCAGGUACCUGACCUGGUUAUAUGCCCACUUCCGAGUCCACUCCACAGUGUCCCAGUACUACCACAGACCACCAUCACCUGCGGUAUCCAUGCCAACAAGUCAGCAUCACAUUAAGAAGGUGGUUUUAAUGUUUUGGUUGUUUCUUUACUGAAAAGAAAUGUAAAAUUUUGUAACAAACUUUAAAACACCAGAAAUUCUGCUUUCAAAUUCUGUUAAAAGUUCACAAGUUCUGUCUCCAGACGUAAAACCACUUUUUAUUCUGCACGAAAAAUGGCCAGUAUGAAGAAUUCUAUCUUGUAUAUAUUAUAUGACAUUAUUAUACUGUAAAUAAUCAUUAAAGUGUUCUUAUUAUGCAAA